rnacentral:rRNA from 1 species
CCUACGGGAGGCAGCAGUGAGGAAUAUUGGUCAAUGGACGAGAGUCUGAACCAGCCAAGUAGCGUGAAGGAUGACUGCCCUAUGGGUUGUAAACUUCUUUUAUAAAGGAAUAAAACGAGGCACGUGUGCCUUUUUGCAUGUACUUUAUGAAUAAGGAUCGGCUAACUCCGUGCCAGCAGCCGCGGUAAUACGGAGGAUCCGAGCGUUAUCCGGAUUUAUUGGGUUUAAAGGGAGCGUAGAUGGGUUGUUAAGUCAGUUGUGAAAGUUUGCGGCUCAACCGUAAAAUUGCAAUUGAUACUGGCAGUCGUGAGUACAGUUGAGGUAGGCGGAAUUCGUGGUGUAGCGGUGAAAUGCUUAGAGAUCACGAAGAACCCCGAUUGCGAAGGCAGCUUACUAAACUGUGACUGACAUUGAUGAUCGAAAGUGUGGGUAUCAAACAGGAUUAGAUACCCUUGUAGUC